UACGGGGGGGGCAAGCGUUGUUCGGAAUUACUGGGCGUAAAGGGUUUGUAGGUGGCCAACUAAGUCAGACGUGAAACCCCUCAGCUUAACUGGGGAACUGCGUCUGAUACUGGUUGGCUUGAGUGCAGGAGAGGAACGCGGAAUUCCAGGUGUAGCGGUGAAAUGCGUAGAUAUCAGGAAGAACACCCGUGGCGAAGGCGGCUCUCUGGGACGGUACUGACGCUGAGACGCGAAAGCGUGGGGAGCGAACAGG
rnacentral:rRNA from 1 species